CAGUAGCCGCGGGAAUACGGAGGAUCCAAGCGUUAUCCGGAAUCAUUGGGUUUAAAGGGUCCGUAGGCGGUCUUGUAAGUCAGUGGUGAAAGCCCAUCGCUCAACGGUGGAACGGCCAUUGAUACUGCAGGACUUGAAUUAUUGGGAAGUAACUAGAAUAUGUAGUGUAGCGGUGAAAUGCUUAGAGAUUACAUGGAAUACCAAUUGCGAAGGCAGGUUACUACCAAUUGAUUGACGCUGAUGGACGAAAGCGUGGGUAGCGAACAGGAUUAGAUACCCGCGUAGUCCCUGUCUCUUAUAC
rnacentral:rRNA from 1 species